UAGGGAAUUUUGCACAAUGGGCGCAAGCCUGAUGCAGCAAUGCCGCGUGAGUGAAGAAGGCUCUUGGGUUGUAAAGCUCUUUCGGCCAAGAAGAAGGGAUUGCCUGCGAACAGUUUGCAAUUCUGACGGUAUUGGAAGAAGAAGCACCUGCUAACUUCGUGCCAGCAGCAGCGGUAAUACGAAGGGUGCAAGCGUUGUUCGGAAUUACUGGGCGUAGAGCGCGCGUAGGCGGGUCUAUAAGUAGAUUGUGAAAUCCCUGGGCUUAACCUGGGACGUGCAGUCUAAACUGUAGAGCUUGAAUGUCUUAGAGGAUGGCGGAAUUCCCGGUGUAGUAGUGAAAUACGUAGAUAUCGGGAAGAACACCUGAGGCGAAGGCGGCUAUCUGGCGGAACAUUGACGCUAAGGCGCGAAAGCGUGGGGAGCAAACA
rnacentral:rRNA from 1 species